UACGGAGGGUGCGAGCGUUGUCCGGAAUCACUGGGCGUAAAGGGCGCGUAGGCGGUGACUUAAGCGUGUGGUGAAAGCCCGGGGCUCAACCCCGGGUCGGCCGUGCGAACUGGGUCACUCGAGCACUGUAGAGGCAGGUGGAAUUCCGGGUGUAGCGGUGGAAUGCGUAGAGAUCCGGAAGAACACCAGUGGCGAAGGCGGCCUGCUGGGCAGUAGCUGACGCUGAGGCGCGACAGCGUGGGGAGCAAACAGG
rnacentral:ncRNA from 3 species